AUUGAACGCUGGCGGCAUGCCUUACACAUGCAAGUCGAACGGCAGCACGGGUGCUUGCACCUGGUGGCGAGUGGCGAACGGGUGAGUAAUACAUCGGAACAUGUCCUGUAGUGGGGGAUAGCCCGGCGAAAGCCGGAUUAAUACCGCAUACGAUCUACGGAUGAAAGCGGGGGCCCUUCGGGCCUCGCGCUAUAGGGUUGGCCGAUGGCUGAUUAGCUAGUUGGUGGGGUAAAGGCCUACCAAGGCGACGAUCAGUAGAUGGUCUGAGAGGACGACCAGCCACACUGGAACUGAGACACGGCCCAGACUCCUACGGGAGGCAGCAGUGGGGAAUUUUGGACAAUGGGCGAAAGCCUGAUCCAGCAAUGCCGCGUGUGUGAAGAAGGCCUUCGGGUUGUAAAGCACUUUUGUCCGGAAAGAAAUCCUUGGCUCUAAUACAGUCGGGGGAUGACGGUACCGGAAGAAUAAGCACCGGCUAACUACGUG
rnacentral:rRNA from 1 species